rnacentral:rRNA from 1 species
AGAAUCAACGCUGGCGGCGUGCCUAAUACAUGCAAGUCGAACGCGAAAGUGGAGCAAUCCAUGAGUAGAGUGGCAAACGGGUGAGUAACGCGUGGGUGACCUGGCCUUCGAGUGGGGGAUAACGUCUCGAAAGGGACGCUAAUACCGCAUGACAUCCCGCCUUUGAAGAGGUGGAGAGCGAAAGCUGGGGAUCGCAAGACCUGGCGCUUGAAGAGGGGCCCGCGUCCGAUUAGCUAGUUGGUGGGGUAACGCUCACCAAGGCGACGAUCGGUA